rnacentral:rRNA from 1 species
UACGUAGGUGGCAAGCGUUGUCCGGAUUUACUGGGCGUAAAGGGAGCGUAGGCGGAUACUUAAGUGGGAUGUGAAAUACCCGGGCUCAACUUGGGUGCUGCAUUCCAAACUGGGUGUCUAGAGUGCAGGAGAGGAAAGUGGAAUUCCUAGUGUAGCGGUGAAAUGCGUAGAGAUUAGGAAGAACACCAGUGGCGAAGGCGACUUACUGGACCGUAACUGACGCUGAGGCAUGAAAGCGUGGGGAGCAAAC